UACGUAGGGCGCAAGCGUUGUCCGGAAUUAUUGGGCGUAAAGAGCUCGUAGGCGGCUUGUCGCGUCGACUGUGAAAUCCCGUGGCUCAACUGCGGGCUUGCAGCCGAUACGGGCAGGCUAGAGUUCGGUAGGGGAGACUGGAAUUCCUGGUGUAGCGGUGAAAUGCGCAGAUAUCAGGAAGAACACCCGUGGCUAAGGCGGUUCUCUAGUACGGUACUGACGCUGAGGCACGAAAGCCGGGGGAGCAAACAGG
rnacentral:rRNA from 1 species